rnacentral:lncRNA from 1 species
CCCUGUCGGGGUCGAUGUGCCCCCCUCCAAAAUCGAAAGGGUCAGCCAAUUUCCUUGGGACCCCUUCCGCUUGGAUUGGCAUGCCGAAACGAUCAGCCACCGACGCUGCAUGCCAUUGACCAACAGUACGUGAAAUGAAGAAACACGAUCAGUUUUAUGGAUUCAUGAUAAUAAAUUGAAGUAUUUACUACGCAGCAGCACGUGCCUGUGGUGAUGAUGGCGGACUUGAUCAUGGCAGGCGACCAGUGAGGGUGAAUCGACUUGAGCAGCGCGACGACAGCCGCGACGUGCGGGCACGCCAUGGACGUCCCUGACAAGAGCUUGUAUGAACCGCCCACAGCUGC